rnacentral:rRNA from 1 species
GACAGAGGGGGCAAGCGUUGCUCGGAAUUACUGGGCGUAAAGGGCGCGUAGGCGGGAUGGCAAGUCGGUCGUGAAAUCCCUCGGCUCAACCGAGGAACGUCGAUCGAUACUGCUGUUCUUGAGGAUUGCAGAGGAGACUGGAAUUCCCGGUGUAGCGGUGAAAUGUGUAGAGAUCGGGAGGAACACCGGUGGCGAAAGCGACACACUGGGUCUCAACUGACGCUGAGGCACGAAAGCCAGGGGAGCGAACGGG